rnacentral:rRNA from 1 species
UUGUGCCUACGGGGCGCAGCAGUGGGGAAUAUUGCACAAUGGGGGGAACCCUGAUGCAGCGACGCCGCGUGGGUGAAGAAGUCAUUCGUGACGUAAAGCCCUAUCAGCAGGGAAGAAAAUGACGGUACCUGACUAAGAAGCCCCGGCUAACUACGUGCCAGCAGCCGCGGUAAUACGUAGGGGGCAAGCGUUAUCCGGAUUUACUGGGUGUAAAGGGAGCGUAGGCGGUUUAGCAAGUCAGAAGUGAAAGCCCGGGGCUCAACUCCGGGACUGCUUUUGAAACUGUUGAACUAGAUUGCAGGAGG